GAUGAACGCUGGCGGCGUGCCUAAUACAUGCCAGUCGAGCGAACGGACGAGAAGCUUGCUUUUCUGAUGUUAGCGGCGGACGGGUGAGUAACACGUGGAUAACCUACCUAUAAGACUGGGAUAACUUCGGGAAACCGGAGCUAAUACCGGAUAAUAUUUUGAACCGCAUGGUUCAAAAGUGAAAGACGGUCUUGCUGUCACUUAUAGAUGGAUCCGCGCUGCAUUAGCUAGUUGGUAAGGUAACGGCUUACCAAGGCAACGAUGCAUAGCCGACCUGAGAGGGUGGUCGGCCACACUGGAACUGAGACACGGUCCAGACUCCGACGGGAGGAAGCAGUAGGGAAUCUUCCGCAAUGGGCGAAAGCCUGACGGAGCAACGCCGCGUGAGUGCUGAAGGUCUUCGGAUCGUAAAACUCUGUUAUUAGGGAAGAACAUAUGUGUAAGUAACUGUGCACAUCUUGACGGUACCUAAUCAGAAAGCCACGGCUAACUACGUG
rnacentral:rRNA from 1 species